rnacentral:rRNA from 1 species
UACGUAGGGUGCGAGCGUGUCCGGAAUUAUUGGGCGUAAAGAGCUCGUAGGCGGUCUGUCGCGUCUGCUGUGAAAUCCCGAGGCUCAACCUCGGGCUUGCAGUGGGUACGGGCAGGCUAGAGUGCGGCAGGGGAGAAUGGAACUCCUGGUGUAGCGGUGGAAUGCGCAGAUAUCAGGAAGAACGACCGAUGGCGGAAGGCAGUUCUCUGG